AGUGAACGCUGGCGGUAGGCCUAACACAUGCAAGUCGAACGGCAGCACAGUAAGAGCUUGCUCUUACGGGUGGCGAGUGGCGGACGGGUGAGGAAUACAUCGGACUCUACUUUUUCGUGGGGGAUAACGUAGGGAAACUUACGCUAAUACCGCAUACGACCUACGGGUGAAAGCAGGGGAUCUUCGGACCUUGCGCGAUUGAAUGAGCCGAUGUCGGAUUCGCUAGUUGGCGGGGUAAAGGCCCACCAAGGCGACGAUCCGUAGCUGGGCUGAGAGGAUGAUCGGCCACACUGGAACUGAGACACGGUCCAGACUCCUACGGGAGGCAGCAGUGGGGAAUAUUGGGCAAUGGGCGCAAGCCUGAUCCAGCCAUACCGCGUGGGUGAAGAAGGCCUUCGGGUUGUAAAGCCCUUUUGUUGGGAAAGAAAAGCAGCAGGUUAAUACCCCGCUGUUCUGACGGUACCCAAAGAAUAAGCACCGGCUAACUUCGUG
rnacentral:rRNA from 1 species